GACUUUUGUUUCAAGUGUGUAAAGCCUAAGAGAUAAUGUGGCAAAAGGUGUUUACUUGUGUGUGUUUGUGCUCUGGAAGGAUUAAAUAGAUGUUUUUGCUGCUUGUUAGCAGGGGCUGAUUUUGAAAAAGCUCUAGUACUAGAUCCCAGUUCUCUGGUAAAUUAGAAUUCAUUACUCAAUACUCUCAAGACUUUUUAAACUGCCUAAUGCCUCCAUUCUCUGCUUUGUCUCCCCCCUUCCACCUCCAACUUUCUUGGUCAAUUAACUUAUAUUUGGGGACAGGCAUUUUAGCAGGGUCUAGGAAGAAAUACUUUACAGUGAGGGUGGUGAAAAACUGUCAGGUUGCAGAGAGAUGGUAGAUGCCUCAUCCAUGGGAACGUUCAAGGUCAUUUGGGCCAGGACUCUGAGCAACCUGGUCUUGUAGAUGUCCGUGCUCAUUGCAUGAGGUUGGACUAGAUGAGCUUUAAAGGUCCCUUCCAACCCAAAGUAUUCCAUUAUUUCAGGUGUUUUUAGGAUACCCCUGGGUACCACUGUAGGAUUUACUGGUGUCCUUUAUCUUUUUUCCUCCCUGACAUUCAAGUUGAUUAAAGGAAGGCACAGACAGAGUCCAGAACCUGAGUUUUUCCAUAUGCUUAAGGAACAGAAUUCGUGUGUUGGCAAAGAAAAGAAACUGACGUUUUCAUCUCGUUUUACCGUAGAACUUCAUUUGUCCUGAAAAAAGAGUCCUGAAAAAAUAGUUACUGUGUGAUGGCAACUCUGCAGUCACGAGGAAUUGAUUUGAGUGUUCCCGAUGUGGACUGGUGAUGAUUUUGGGAUCUAGUUCAAUUACUUCAGAUGAUCUGUAAAUUUUCAAUAAUGGCAAUACAUUCAUUCUGCCAUUUGGAGGAGCCUGUGCCACAGAAUAAUGAUCUGAAGAAAGCUCACUCAUUUGCAAGGAAGAGUCCUCAUUUGGGAAUUAGCACUGAUGCAGCUCAAGGGUGCUUUUUCAAGUCCAGACUCUUUCAGCAGAACUAUUUUCCUAACACAACCUCUGGUACAAGGAUAAAACUGGGUUUUUGUCAAAGAACAGAGUCCUGUAUCUGA
rnacentral:lncRNA from 1 species